rnacentral:rRNA from 1 species
GCGGCGGACGGGUGAGUAAUGUCUGGGAAACUGCCUGAUGGAGGGGGAUAACUACUGGAAACGGUAGCUAAUACCGCAUAAUGUCGCAAGACCAAAGUGGGGGACCUUCGGGCCUCAUGCCAUCAGAUGUGCCCAGAUGGGAUUAGCUAGUAGGUGGGGUAACGGCUCACCUAGGCGACGAUCCCUAGCUGGUCUGAGAGGAUGACCAGCCACACUGGAACUGAGACACGGUCCAGACUCCUACGGGAGGCAGC